GCAGAGAUAGCUCAGUCAGAAGAGCAUGAGACUCUUAAUGUCAGGUCAUGGGUUCAAGCCCCAUGUUAGGCA